rnacentral:ncRNA from 1 species
AGUGGUUUUAAGGGGGAGCUGAGCGGGGCAAAGCUCGGCUGAGAGUAGGCACUAAAAAUCCCUGUGCCUUGACCCUUUGAACCUGAUCCGGGUAAUGCCGGCGAAGGGAGAAAAUGAGACUUGCAA